UACGUAGGGUGCGAGCGUUGUCCGGAAUUACUGGGCGUAAAGAGCUCGUAGGUGGUUUGUCGCGUUGUCCGUGAAAACUCACAGCUCAACUGUGGGCGUGCGGGCGAUACGGGCAGACUGGAGUACUGCAGGGGAGACUGGAAUUCCUGGUGUAGCGGUGGAAUGCGCAGAUAUCAGGAGGAACACCGGUGGCGAAGGCGGGUCUCUGGGCCAUAACUGACGCUGAGAAGCGAAAGCAUGGGGAGCGAACAGG
rnacentral:rRNA from 1 species